rnacentral:rRNA from 1 species
UACGUAGGGGGCAAGCGUUGUCCGGAAUCAUUGGGCGUAAAGAGCGUGUAGGCGGCCCGAUAAGUCCGCCGUGAAAGUCCAGGGCUCAACCCUGGGAUGCCGGUGGAAACUGUCGGGCUAGAGUCCGGAAGAGGCGAGUGGAAUUCCUGGUGUAGCAGUGAAAUGCGUAGAUAUCGGGAGGAAUACCGAUGGCGAAGGCAGGUCUCUGGGCUGACACUGACGCUCAUGCACGAAAGCGUGGGGAGCAAACAGG